UUUAGGAGGGAUAAUUUGCUGUCUCCUAAGAGCCAAACACUUGAGAGUUCCUAGCAGGCAGUGGCUCCUCCUUAGCCCUUCCUCUGAUAGUGACAAACUCGAGACCUCCCUGCUCUUACUAGUUGAGGUCCCUUUGUUUCAAGCAACCUGUGGCCUGGCUUCUCUGACCAGGUCUUGGAGAUGAUAGUUCUACUUGCUUGCCUUCUGUCCUGAUCUUGAAGCUUUCUAAAACUCCCUCUAGGAACAAGCUAUAGAGUAGGUGUGCUACUGGAAAAGCCUGGGCGGAUGUGAGCUUACAUCUGGCAAAACCUAAACGGAGUUGGGAGACCCGCGUGUUUCUCUUCCAACUGAAAACAUCAACGUGGGUUGAAUUGGGACAGCAGGUGGUAGUUAGGGCCUCAGCCAUUGGAGAUGAGGAUUUUUUCUUAGAUUGUACUAUUCAACUCCCAGGGGAGUGCCCAAGUAGGAAUUGGACUGACUGGAGUUUCUCUAACAGAAUCAUAACUACAUAGCUCCUGGAAGCUCCCUGCUGGCCUAGGUUUGGGAUACCACACCUGCAGUCUCGCCUCCCCUGAGAGGGCGAGUAGCUUGUAGAGCUCACACCACAGCUGUGAUGACUGCUACACCCACAGUGUCAUGGUGUUGAGCCUGGCCUGUCUGGAAAGGCCCAGUAUUAAACCAGACUCAGACUGAAUGCUCUGGAAGAAGUGAAGCCUAAGUGCAUGCAAGAGGAACUGGAGGGAAUUGGCAGGCAAAUGAUCACACGGUGUGGUGGUCUGAGAAGUAGGAAAACCAGAGGCCUAGAGGUGGCUCAACCUGCUGACCUGGGGAAAGCAGACCCUGCAGCUGGGAUUGUAUGCACCUGUUGAGCAAGUGCUUCAAAUGACAUACCUUAAGGCACGGAUGAAAGCUGCUUGUUAAUUGCUCAAGGUCUAAAGCAUGGUUCACGAUGGAUUUCACAAGAUCAGAGUUAAGCUAACUGGACUUCUGCCUCAACGUGUAAAGAACUUGGAAGUCAGCUUUCCUGCUGUAAGGAUAGGAAUGAUGAAUUAUCAACUGUUAGAUCAAUCAGAAUUGAGGUCACAGGACUAACUUCUGCCCUGAAAACUACAGACAGCUGCAGAAGAUGGGUUGCCAGGAGCAAAAGCCACAGCUGGAACCAGAAACCAAUCAGGAACACUUAAAGGGUAGUUGACAAAUUGCUGAAGGCUCAGUGUGGACUAGCUUGAGAGUUUAAAAACUCUGGUGGACCCAGUUUUAUGGGACUUGCUACACUUCAUGUGUGUUAUUUCCUGGAUAGGGCAUUGGGCAUGGAGAAAAAGGGUCCAGGGUCUUCAAGAGAAGUAGCCGGCUGAAUGAACAACCUUCUGGAGAUCUGCCUCUAGCCAGGAAGACAACCCAAACAUUGGCUUUGAGCAGGAAGGAAUAGUAGGAAAGUCUGUCCGCUUGAGGAUCCAUGGGUCCCACCUGGCCUUGCUCUAGGCCUGCAUUGCAUGUGGCUGGAGUCGGGUGGGGACUAGGAUCUGAGGGGCACUGUAGGAGCCGGUUCUCAAAGCUCUCAGAACUGAGUGCGCUUCUAGCAGUAGGGCUUUCCCUCUGGUGCUUGGUUGGACAGUGAGUCCUGGUUGUACUAGUGGCCAGCCAGUGGGUUUCCAUGCUCAAUCCUGCCUUGCUGCUUCAUGUGGAAAGCAGAGUGGAAGCUUCUGAUCUUCAUGAGUACAGUUGUCUUGUGUUGCUAGAGUAAUCUCUCAGAUGCCUCAUCAGUUGCGAGUAUUUGGAUAGACGGUAUGUAGGGCAGAAGUCUUCAGCAUAAUUAGAAAAGGGAGCUCUUCGGGACCAAGUUCUCCCUCUGGCUCACAACUUGCAAAUGCUUUAAGUCCACUGGAAGCUGGGCAUUGCCUCACCUGAUCACUUAUGGACUUGAGCCCUCCAUUGAGGGGACAUGGUCUCUUUAAAUCCAAUCCAUUCAUACCCUGCGAUAGGCAAACUCUUGUUCUCACUCAUGCAUUUUUGAGAAUGAACUCUGGCUGUGUAAUUUCAAGUGCUCUAUUGAAGUUGGUGGUUCAGACAGUUCACUGCAAAGGGACUUGGACUGGGAAGGAUUUCAGCUGAGGGCAAGACUCCUUACCUGCCCAGUUUACCCAAGUUAAAUUCCUUUUGUGUCAUUUGCUUAAUGGGCGCGGGUGCUGACAAGCUCACUACUCCAUAAUGAGCUUGUGCUUAACUCGUAAACAUCAACAUCUGUAAAGCUGCUGUCUCAAGCCUCUCCCCUUCAACAGGAUCGCUAGGCCUCCGUUUGACACCUGAUGGCCCCUUUUCCCUCUUCUAGCCGGUAAUGCCUCACACUAUCAGCUAGGUGAGGCUUGCAAAUCAGCCGGCUAACAGACUAACCAAGGAGCCAAAAGGAGGGAUCCUUCCUCUGCCUGGCUAGUGGCCCCAUCCCAAAGGAGGGCCCACCAUGGUGCCACACACUCUUCAUGACUUGGGGAUUGAAGUUGAAGACUUGAGACUAAAGCAAAGGGUCCCAAAGGCAAUGUGACUGCUUCCUUUUCUAACAAUGACACUCAAUUUUAGGGACGCUAUGCUAAAGUUAAAACAGGCCAGAUGCCAAACUCAUCCUCUUCGAACUUUCAAUAAAAUUGUGUUCCUAUAGUAUGGAGUUGUGGGAGAGGCUAUCCUGUCCAGGGGUCUGUACUUUUAAGCUCUUAAGUUGGCCUUGUAAAGGUUCUGUGGUGGCUCGUGCUUGGAAUUUGACUGGAACCAGGGGAUGGUAGAGAGUUUGACUUAGGAUUCUCAGAAUUGGACACAGUCCUCCUGGACCUUUAACUUUGCUCUUAUGGACUUCAUUGACUUCAGUAAUUGCCUUCAUCCAGAGAAGAGUCCUUUCUGAUGAGUAGAUGGUGGCGGUGUUCCUUAGUUCACAGCACACUUGGUACAUGCAAGACCUCUGCAUGGUUAUUUUUUUACCUCCAUUUCCUCACCAUAGGCAAAUACAGGAGUCCC
rnacentral:lncRNA from 1 species